GAUUUCUGGUUCGGCGCAUCUAGCCCGCCUCGGUUUCGGGGACGUGUGCUGGUGUGCGCCAUCCAUCCUUCGAGAAAGCACCUCUGCCUUUACUGGUUGGAGAUGUGAUCUCGAUCUUUUACUUUGAAAAAAUUAGAGUGUUUAAAGCAGGCUUGCGCGCAUAGAUACAUUAGCAUGGAAUAAUAAUUUAGGACUUUGGUCUUAUUUUGUUGGUUUCUAGGACUAAAGUAAUGAUUGAUAGGGACAGUUGGGGGUGCUAGUAUUCAGCGGCCAGAGGUGAAAUUCUUGGAUUCGCUGAAGACUAACUUAUGCGAAAGCAUU
rnacentral:rRNA from 1 species